AUCCGGCUGAGGAGUCCCAAAUUGGACGAAAUGAGCAUCUUCGAU
rfam:Schistosoma haematobium scaffold752_1, whole genome shotgun sequence.